CACAAUUAUGGCACUAGCUAGGUGGCAAUACCUUGCAGGGUUGGGGCAGUGUUCUCCAGGAGGCUCUAUAUACUCCAAACCAGCAUCCAGUAUACGGUGCUGUUUCUCCCAUAACCAGGAUUCAUGGGUCCAGAAAUCAAGAGGUGGAAAUGGGAGUGGCACCAUUCACUACUACCCCUGGUGACCCACACAAGAUUUUUGCUUCCUGUCCCUACGACCUUAUGUUCUAUAGGUCUAGAGGUCUUAGUUCCAAAGGGAGGAAUGUUCCCACCUGGAGAUACAUCACUGAUUCCAUUGAACUGGAAGUUAAGAAUGCCACCUGGCCACUUUGGGCUCUUUAUGCCACUAGAUCAACAGGCAAAGAAGGGAGUUACCAUACUGGCUGAGUGACUGAUCCUGAUUACCAGGGGAAAAUCAGAUUGAUAUUACAUAAUGGAGGUAAAGAAGAGUAUGUCUGGAAUGCAGGAGAUCCCUUAGGGUGUCUCUUAGUACUACCACACCCUGUGAUUAAAGUCAGUGGAAAACUACAGCAACCCAAUUCCGACAUGAUUACUAAUGACCCAGACCCUUCGGGAAUGAAGGUUUGGGUCACCCCACCAGGCAAAGAACCACAACCAGCUGAGUUGCUUGCAGAGGGCAAAGGGAAUACAGAAUGGGUGGUGGAAGAAGGUAGUUAUGGCCCUGGACUAUAGUUGUUAUGAGUAUUUCUGCUUUGUAUGUGUACAUCAGAUACUUUUGUUUUCUUCACUUAUAAAAUAUAAGAUGUAAACAGGGCUAGUGCGUUUUUGGUUGUAUGUAAAUUAGUCAUAUCAUGUUAGGUGCAAGUACGACUUUACAAUUGUCUUUAUUCAGAGAUUAUGUAUGGUUUAAGGAGUUGUGUACAUGUGACAAGUUGACAAGGAGUGGACUGUGUUGGUUAAGACUGUCUGUCAACUUGGUUGGGCCAUGAUUCUUAGUGUUUAUAUGGGAUCACUCCCAUGAUUGAAUCUGCUGUGAGUAGCCAAGCAGUUGAAAGGGAGUUCCCUUGGGGGUAUGGCCUGUAUCCAAAUAAGCAGACUUUCUGGCUUUUUUGCUCACUCUGGAUCUUGCAGCUGCCUCCUGUUCGUCUGACCUCCGGCUCUUGUGACUUGAGCUAUCAGCUGUUCUGCAGAUCUUGAGAUUCAUCAAUCUUCAGGCCUGAGAGUGUGAGCCCUGCUCUCCGCCUGUUGAUCUUAGAUUCACCAGCCCCUGUGGCUAUGUGAAUUGAGAGAGGCCUCUGUCAAGAUCCACACACUUGGGAUGCUCCAUCCUCUGCAAUCAUAUGCAUAGUGUGGUGAAGUAGAUGAAACGUGAAGUGAUUUCACACUGUGGGGGUAGACAGUGAAGAGAAAAUCCGGUACCUCUACUAUUGUGUGACGCCAUUCAGCUAUACGCAUACCCUCCUAAUGGAAUCAGCUGUGCUCUUCCCUGAAGUAUGCUGGGAAUGAAUUCGGGAUGGACUCAGGCUAAGGUACAAUGCUGGGAGUAGCAGGAUUGGGCGAGCGGCCAAGGCCGAGGAAUGCCUUAGUGACAGGAAGGAAAACAUCUCGGCCUGGAUGUGAAGUCCCUGGGAACACUGACUGCCCAUGGAUGUGGGAGAAAAACAACAAGGCUUGGUCCCAGCUGGAAUGGUAUAUACGCUUGUGUCCCUUGCUAGAUGGUUGCGGAGUGCUAAACUGGUCCAGCCACCGCCUUGGGCCAUGGACCU